rnacentral:tRNA from 1 species
GACGGAAUGGCGAAAUUGGAAGACGCACAUGGACACCAUGGAGUAUUUAGCAAUGCGCAAGGCGGUACUCAGUAUUUAGAGGUUCAAAUCCUCUUUCCGUCA